rnacentral:lncRNA from 1 species
UGCGUUAACUACAAUCACAUGUUGUGGCAUCCUCCACUUUGAAUCUGUGUGGAGAUUCCGGUUCCCAGACUUGACCAUCCCCAGGCUUGACCAUCCCCAGGCUUGACCAUCCCGUCACUAUGGCGUCUCAGUUAGGCUUCAGAUCCCCCACUGCACCUGAUCCACUCACCUCCGAUGGAGCACUUGCCCGUGUUGCUGCCCCAGCUUCAUCCUUUUUGUUCACACUGUGGUUAUAAAGUUGUAAGGUGGAACCCUGUUGGAAUUUCAUUUACAUGACAUUUAAGCUGUUAAACCUAAAGGACCAAAGGGUGGAGUGUUCUAGCGGAUUCUCUUGAUUAAAAAGUGAUGUGUUCCUUGGGUUUCUACCUAAAUCACUGUAUUUGGGAGGUAUUGUUUUUCCCUAAAAGGCUGUAGGAAGCUCCCUCCCUCCAGCAAGAUUGUCCUGAGAGUGACAGUAAACCUUAGGGUGAUUCCAGACUGGAUUGAUCAAUGGCACAACCCAGCAUUUGCAGAGGCUCACCAAAAAAAAAAAAAAAAAAAGAAAAGAAAGAAAGAAAGAAAGAAAAAGAAAAACCGGUCAUUUUUCUGCUGGAUGCUGUUAACCAAGGUGCAAAUUUACUCUUCAGUGUUGCUGAUAUUUCUUUCUACUUUUAAUUGUCGCCAUUUUUCGUGGGUUAUUUUAAAGUGCUGUCCAUAUUAUCUCCAGGUAGCUGUAAAAUAAAUAAACUCCGUUUAAGAUACCCUUUAGUGGUACAUGUCAGUUGUAUGCGAUUGCAGGGCCAAAUGUCAUUUUUCUGGCUGAGGGAAACCAAGGGAGUUUGGGUACAGAGGAUAUCAACUUGUCAAUUUUCCAAAUAUUUUGUGCUUAAGCUCGAUUCUUCUGGCCUUGUGUUUUUCUGCAUGAGCACAUAUCAGUCAUUGGGUCCUGUCCCCAAGGAGCUUAUAGAGGGAGAGAUGUUCUAGGGAAGAAAACCUGGUUGGCCUGUUUGUUUAAUAGUAGAGAACAUUUUCGUUAUUCUCUCGUGCGUUUACUUCUCCGUCUUUUUCUAAUACUGUUCUCUGUCAUCCUGGAUGAGGAAGCACUUGUGGGAGCAGGGCUCACACAGCAGGGGGUGUAACAGAUGUUUGCACUUGGCUCAGUAUGUUAUGAAUGUGGCACAGUAAAUAACGUUUGUGUACAAAAUAUUAAGUUUAUUUCUAUGAGAGCAAUUAUGUUCAGGAUAUAUAAAAUGUAUCUAAUUAAACCAUUACGAAUCUAUUUUGUGCUCUAGAAAUGUUCUUUUGGGAGGGGGGGAUGUGUCAGUAGUGCUAAAAGUAAAACGCUGAUGUGCGUUCAUGGGUUUAGUUUGCUUUCCCAAAUGCUCCAUGGCUUUUGGGAAAGACUCCAUUUCACACCAGGACUCUAUCUUAAUUGGGUUUAGUUUUUGUAAACAUUUAUACUUUGAAAGUUGUGUGCUGUGUGGCUCUUUCUCUGAAGCAGAAACUGACUUUAUUAACAUCAUCUUUGUAACUCCGCCCAUUAUGGAGAUGUGGAUCCUUUCUGUAUUGGCUCCUUUUAAAGAGAGAGCGGCAAACCGCAUUGGAUGGAUUUGGCUUCAUUCUUCUAACCUGGGAUUUAAAGGAUGAAUGGAUGCUGUGAUGAAGAAACAUGCCCGACAUCCUAAGUAGAUCAGGCCCUUGGGAUAGACAGACAGACAGCUGCCAGACGCCUCGGCUGGAAGAGGUGUCAUACUCUUGAAUUGGCUCUUCAAAAGGACAAACUUGUCUCUCUAGCCUCUGGUCCUUCCACAACGGAAACAUGUUGGAUGCCAUGUCAUUGUGUGUGAAAUGGGCCAUAUUUAUGUGUAAUUUCAGUCAUUCGGGUUAGAAACUAUUCCAUUCACUUUCCUCGUGGACACUAUUAAUUCUUCAUGAGUUAAAAGUUUCCUUAUACACACAUAUAUUGUUGUUAUUUUCCAAACUGAUAGAAAAAAAAGAUAACCAAAAGUUUUGGUUUCCAUAAAUUUUGCUUCUAUCUUUACCUUCCUUCCCAAAAUGAGUUAGUUGUAAAGAAAAGGAUAUUAAAAUUUUUGGUAAAAUAAAGUGGAAUCCUAUAUGGGUCCAUCCGUGUCUUCUCUCAGUGAGAUCAAAUGAGGGACGGAACUGAACGCUUCCAGGCAGAACGAUGCUAAAAUCCUUUAUGUCUGCUCUCCCUUAGUGUUUCAUCUCAGGCCUUCAGGAAUUAAAGUGUUUGCUGUGCUUUUUAAAAAGCCAGAUAUAAAUGUUAUAUAAUAAACAUCACACAUUGAAACUG